GUCUACGGCCACGCCACCCUGAACAAGCCUGAUCCCGUCUGAUCUCGGAAGCUAAGCAGGGUCGGGCCUGGUUAGUACUUGGAUGGGAGACCACCUAGGAAGACCAGGUGUUAUACGUG
rnacentral:rRNA from 1 species